rnacentral:misc_RNA from 1 species
GAUGAAGAACGCAGCGAAAUGCGAUACGUAAUGUGAAUUGCAGAAUUCAGUGAAUCAUCGAGUCUUUGAACGCACAUUGCGCCCCCUGGUAUUCCGGGGGGCAUGCCUGUCCGAGCGUCAUUGCUGCCCUCAAGCCCGGCUUGUGUGUUGGGUCUCGUCCCCCUUCCCGGGGGGACGGGCCCGAAAGGCAGCGGCGGCACCGCGUCCGGUCCUCGAGCGUAUGGGGCUUUGUCACCCGCUCUGUAGGCCCGGCCGGCGCUUGCCGAUCAACCAAAACUUUUUUCCAGGUUGACCUCGGAUCAGGUAGGGAUACCAGCUGAACUUAAGCAUAUCAAUAAGCGGAGGA